CCUUAGUUCCCCUGUCAACCAUCAAAGAAGUGAGAUCAGGGAAGAACACGGAGGUAUUUCGUGCCAUCGAGCGAGAAGACAUCCCCGAAGAUUGCGCAUUCUCGAUCAUUCACGGAGACAACUUCAUCGUGCUGGAUCUAAUCGCCCACAGUCCUGAUGACGCAAAUAUCUGGAUCACUGGCUUACGAUGUCUGCUUGAUUCUGAUUUCAGUAAGUUGUGUUUAGGAGUCGCUCGCAUAUUUUCA